GAUGAACGCUGGCGGCGUGCCUAAUACAUGCAAGUCGAGCGGUAAGGCUCCUGCAGAUUAUUUAAACAGUGGAGAUAUCUCCACAGCUGAAGUUUCCGGCUGGAAACUAAGGUACGUUUGAAUGAUGUGCUGGAGUACACGAGCGGCGGACGGGUGAGUAACGCGUAAGAAUGUACCCCAAACUGAGGGAUAACUGCUCG
rnacentral:rRNA from 1 species